rnacentral:rRNA from 1 species
GACGGAGGGUGCAAGCGUUGCUCGGAAUCACUGGGCGUAAAGGGUGCGUAGGCGGUCUCGCAAGUCUGGCGUGAAAGCCCAAGGCUCAGCCUUGGAAGUGCGCUCGAAACGGCGAGGCUGGAGUGCCGGAGAGGAUAGUGGAAUUCCCAGUGUAGUGGUGAAAUACGUAGAGAUUGGGAAGAACACCAGUGGCGAAGGCGGCUAUCUGGACGGUUUCUGACGCUAAGACGCGAAAGCGUGGGGAGCAAACAGG